GACGAACGCUGGCGGCGUGCUUAACACAUGCAAGUCGAACGGAAAGGCCCUGCUUUUGUGGGGUGCUCGAGUGGCGAACGGGUGAGUUACACGUGAGUAACCUGCCCUUGACUUUGGGAUAACUUCAUGAAACUGGGGCUAAUACCGGAUAGGAGCUCCUGCUGCAUGGUGGGGGUUGGAAAGUUUCGGCGGUUGGGGUUGGACUCGCGGCUUAUCAGCUUGUUGGUUGGGUAGUGGCUUACCAAGGCUUUGCCGGGUAGCCGGCCUGGUCGGGUAACCGGCCACACUGCGAUGGGAAUAAGGCACGGCCUAGUCCGCGAGGGGACGGUGGAGUAUAGUAUAUUAUAGACGGAGCGCAGAUGUAGUCCCGCAGCGCGGCGGGUGUGGUCCUGCGGUUUGUGUUCCGAAUCUCUUUUUCACGAAGCGAUAAUGACGGUACUGGGUAAAGAAGCUCCGGCUAACUACGUG
rnacentral:rRNA from 1 species